rnacentral:lncRNA from 1 species
CCCUCCAUCAGAUCCCUCCAGUCAUGAACCUCCCAGUCAAUUUCCCUCCCAAUCAGAACCUCCAGUAGUCAGAUCCCUCCCCAGUCAGAUCCCUCCCAGUCAGAUCCCUCCCAGUCAGAUCCCUCCCAGGUCAGAUACCUCCCACUCAUAUCCCUCCAGUUCAGAUCCCUCCCAGUCUGAUCCCCCCCAGUCAGAUCCCUUCCAGUCCGAUCCCUCUCCGUCAGACCCUUCCAGUCAGACCCCUCCAGUCAGAUCCCUCCCAGUUCAGAUCCCUCCAGUCAGAU